UACGUAGGGGGCAAGCGUUGUCCGGAUUUAUUGGGCGUAAAGAGCGUGUAGGCGGCUGGGUAGGUCCGUUGUGAAAACUCGAGGCUCAACCUCGAGACGCCGAUGGAAACCCCCCAGCUAGAGUCCGGAAGAGGAGAGUGGAAUUCCUGGUGUAGCGGUGAAAUGCGCAGAUAUCAGGAGGAACACCAGUGGCGAAGGCGGGCUUCC
rnacentral:rRNA from 1 species